ACAGCAUGGUGUGGGCAUGAUCUAAGUAAGCCCUGCAGACUAUCCCAAGUCUCAUGGAAAUCUUCUCCCUCAUAUUGGGAGAAGCUAGUGAUAGCUUUCCUAGUGU